CGAUGAAGGACGUGCUAAUCUGCGAUAAGCGCCGGUAAGGUGAUAUGAACCGUUAUAACCGGCGAUUUCCGAAUGGGGAAACCCAGUGUGAUUCGUCACACUAUCAUUAACUGAAUCCAUAGGUUAAUGAGGCGAACCGGGGGAACUGAAACAUCUAAGUACCCCGAGGAAAAGAAAUCAACCGAGAUUCCCCCAGUAGCGGCGAGCGAACGGGGAGGAGCCCAGAGCCUGAAUCAGCAUGUGUGUUAGUGGAAGCGUCUGGAAAGGCGCGCGAUACAGGGUGACAGCCCCGUACACAAAAGCGCAUGUGCUGUGAGCUCGAUGAGUAGGGCGGGACACGUGGUAUCCUGUCUGAAUAUGGGGGGACCAUCCUCCAAGGCUAAAUACUCCUGACUGACCGAUAGUGAACCAGUACCGUGAGGGAAAGGCGAAAAGAACCCCGGCGAGGGGAGUGAAAAAGAACCUGAAACCGUGU
rnacentral:rRNA from 1 species